GGCCCGCACAAGCGGAGGAACAUGUGGUUUAAUUCGAUGAUACGCGAGGAACCUUACCCGGGCUUGAAAUCGUCAGGCGGGACGCAGAGACGCGUCCGUUCUUCGGAUCUGGCGGUAGGUGCUGCAUGGUUGUCGUCAGCUCGUGCCGUGAGGUGUCGGCUUAAGUGCCAUAACGAGCGCAACCCCUGUCUGCAGUUGCCAUCGGCUCGGCCGGGCACUCUGCAGAGACUGCCUCCGCAAGGAGCGAGGAAGGUGGGGAUGACGUCAAAUCAGCACGGCCCUUACGUCCGGGGCUACACACGUGUUACAAUGGCAUGUACAGAAAGUCGGCCGUGCGCAAGCACGGUCAAAUCCCCAAAACAUGUCUCAGUCCGGACUGGGGUCUGCAACCCGACCCCACGAAGCUGGAUUCGCUAGUAAUCGCGCAUCAGCCAUGGCGCGGUGAAUACGUUCCCGGGC
rnacentral:rRNA from 1 species